rnacentral:misc_RNA from 1 species
AAAGAUCGCAGCCUGCGGCAGCUCCUACAGGGGCAGGCAUUUCAUGUAGGAGCUGCCGCAGGCUGCGAUCUUU